GUAGAUAAAGAAUUCGAUAAAACUCUCUCCGAUGUGGUUAAGAUUCCCAAGGUACAAGCCUUGUUAUAGGACUUUUUAAAAGUUUAAAGACUUUUCUUAAUUGCCAAGGAAUUCUUUUUGGGAUCCAUUUGAUAAUUCUUCAUUUUUUUGCUUGUGUCCAAGGUAUUUCCAUGUUCCGAACCAAAAAAAUAGCAUUGUGAAACAUUUAAGAGGUUUCACCGUAAUGUAGAUCAACUUAGCAUGGACUGGUUUUCACUCUGUUUGAUCAACUAAAGUUAUCACCAUUUGUAAUAUGUUCAACAGAAAGCUGCAAGAAAUGUGUUGGAAUAUUGGGUCUAGUCCAUUUAAUAAAUCCAAAAAUGCCAAAUAAAUCUCAAAGGUCCAUGUAUGGUAAAGAGGAUGGUGAGAUUGGUGGAACCUUUAGUCCCACCUUGUUAGUGCUGGUGGAGGAUAAGCAACAUAAAUAUGGAAGUUGUCUCCACUCAACCAAAGCUUGGUGUGUGGGGAAAGAAGGGAACACCACUAACGUUUGCUUGCCUCGAUAGACUCGGGCGCCCUGCACCAGCAUGAAUAAAGUUUUUAGGAAGAGCUCCGCUGGCUCCUAUGUCAUCAUCAACCCAUUCAUCGAAACUGCAACAGCCAUGGCGCCUCCAUCUACAAACUCUUAGAGAUAUCAGUUGAAAGCUUGAUAGCAUAUCUUCAUGUUGAAGAGAAUGCUCGGCUAAGGAUACUACCGACAAAGGAGGUGAGGGCUGGUCUAACAUCAACAUGAUGCAGAAGUUCCCACAUGGCAAGAACAAAGGGAAAAAUCCGAGACACUUCUCCAAGGAUUGUCUAGAAUAUGUUGGUCGCAAAGGGAAGAAGGUUAAGUCCAAGAAUGUCAACAUGGUGACCAUGGGCAACACUGAAGAUGGAUAUGGUCGUCCGGGGUUCUUCCAUUUUGAUGGAGAAUGGUCCCAUACUUCUGUUCAUGGUGUUAACAUAGUAGAUCUAAAGUUUACGUUGGGAAAGAUCAUGUAGCUAAGGAAUAUGCAGCAGUGUUAAUGUUUGAGACCGGUAAUCCACAAAGAGGGUACCCGAGGUUAUAGAUUGCAUAGAGGAGAUUCAUUGAUCCUAGAGCUAGACGUAAACACACGGACGCAAGUCUUUUAGAUAGGAUCGCCCACCAAUGGUAUAAUACCCUACGUCUGUUGGUAUUGCUUAUGGUAACAAAUGUAAUACAAGAAUAAUUCU